rnacentral:misc_RNA from 1 species
GGUGUUUUCACGUCUUACCGUAGUGCCCGCUUUCUUUGUCUCGAUUCCCGAUUGAUGAACAAGAAGGAAAAAUGCAGUCUUUUUUGACUCGCCUCCGGCUACGUUUUGGACCCUUUACUUGAUAUUCUAUUAAUAAAGCGCUAGCGCCCCUAUAGAGUGAGGCUCUUCUGCUAUCAAUGAAACCGAAAGAAAGACAAAACCCUAGUGCGUUUUGUAUAGAUCGAGACUUGUAGCUUGAUUCUUUACUCAUUCCAUACUGGGAAGAAUUGCAGGAAAUCGUUCGAUAACACUUCUUCUUAUUUCUCAAUGAUGAUUAAGAUAAUUCCCGUGAAACUCUUUCAUUUCAUAGAAGUGAAUUCUUAUUCUUACAAAGCAAAUAGCAUUUCCUAUUGAUUUGUCCCCUG